rnacentral:rRNA from 1 species
GAUGAACGCUGGCGGCGUGCCUAAUACAUGCAAGUCGAGCGAACAGACGAGGAGCUUGCUCCUCUGACGUUAGCGGCGGACGGGUGAGUAACACGUGGAUAACCUACCUAUAAGACUGGGAUAACUUCGGGAAACCGGAGCUAAUACCGGAUAAUAUAUUGAACCGCAUGGUUCAAUAGUGAAAGACGGUUUUGCUGUCACUUAUAGAUGGAUCCGCGCCGCAUUAGCUAGUUGGUAAGGUAACGGCUUACCAAGGCAACGAUGCGUAGCCGACCUGAGAGGGUGAUCGGCCACACUGGAGCUGAGACACGGUCCAGCCUCCUACGGGAGGCAGCAGUAGGGAAUCUUCCGCAAUGGGCGAGAGCCUGACGGAGCAACGCCGCGUGAGUGAUGAAGGUCUUCGGAUCGUAAAACUCUGUUAUUAGGGAAGAACAAAUGUGUAAGUAACUAUGCACGUCUUGACGGUACCUAAUCAGAAAGCCACGGCUAACUACGUG